rnacentral:rRNA from 1 species
UACGAAGGGGGCUAGCGUUGUUCGGAAUUACUGGGCGUAAAGCGCGCGCAGGCGGUCUUCCAAGUCAGUGGUGAAAGCCCGGAGCUCAACUCCGGAACUGCCAUUGAAACUGUUGGACUUGAGUACGAGAGAGGUGAGUGGAAUUCCCAGUGUAGAGGUGAAAUUCGUAGAUAUAGGAAGGAACACCAGUGGCGAAGGCGACCACCUGGACUGAUACUGACACUGAGGUGCGAAAGCGUGGGGAGCAGACAGG